rnacentral:sRNA from 1 species
CAGGACGCUGCGGCCAAGCAGAAAGUUGAACAGAACGCGGCUCCCAGCCACACCAAGUUCAGAGUCCAGAUAUUGUCUAUGGUUGAUGAAAUAAGAAACAGAGGUUUGACUGUAUUUUUUAAAUUGUGGGAAGAGGAACCUACAAAGGAUCUGAAAAUAAUGAACACGGGUAUACCUGCAGGGACAAGGAAGAUGGGGAGUAUGCAUGAAAAUCCCUUCUCAUAGCGGAAAGUCCCCAGAUGUGUCUGAAGUCAGCAAGUCAAGAAACAGCAUCAUAAACACAGCAGUCACACAUGCAGUGGUGGCACCAGAAGGACUGAAAAGGAAUGGUGGGGGCAGCCACUUCAGAAGCAGCAGGGGGCACAGAGCUGUUAUUUUUUAACCAUGUGGUGUAUUUCUUUGAUUUUUAAAAAGUCGAGACAAUUUUAAAUAAAAUCUUUCUUCUAA